AGUGAACGCUGGCGGUAGGCCUAACACAUGCAAGUCGAACGGCAGCACAGUAAGAGCUUGCUCUUACGGGUGGCGAGUGGCGGACGGGUGAGGAAUACAUCGGAAUCUACUUUUUCGUGGGGGAUAACGUAGGGAAACUUACGCUAAUACCGCAUACGACCUACGGGUGAAAGCAGGGGAUCUUCGGACCUUGCGCGAUUGAAUGAGCCGAUGUCGGAUUAGCUAGUUGGCGGGGUAAAGGCCCACCAAGGCGACGAUCCGUAGCUGGUCUGAGAGGAUGAUCAGCCACACUGGAACUGAGACACGGUCCAGACUCCUACGGGAGGCAGCAGUGGGGAAUAUUGGACAAUGGGGGCAAGCCUGAUCCAGCCAUACCGCGUGGGUGAAGAAGGCCUUCGGGCUGUAAAGCCCUUUUGUUGGGAAAGAAAAGCAGCAGGUUAAUACCCCGCUGUUCUGACGGUACCCAAAGAAUAAGCACCGGCUAACUUCGUG
rnacentral:rRNA from 1 species